rnacentral:rRNA from 1 species
AUUGAACGCUGGCGGCAUGCCUUACACAUGCAAGUCGAACGGCAGCACGGGGCAACCUGGUGGCGAGUGGCGAACGGGUGAGUAAUGCAUCGGAACGUACCUUUCAGUGGGGGAUAACGUAGCGAAAGUUACGCUAAUACCGCAUAUUCUGUGAGCAGGAAAGCAGGGGAUCGCAAGACCUUGCGCUGAUUGAGCGGCCGAUGUCAGAUUAGCUAGUUGGUGAGGUAAAGGCUCACCAAGGCGACGAUCUGUAGCGGGUCUGAGAGGAUGAUCCGCCACACUGGAACUGAGACACGGUCCAGACUCCUACGGGAGGCAGCAGUGGGGAAUUUUGGACAAUGGGGGCAACCCUGAUCCAGCCAUGCCGCGUGAGUGAAGAAGGCCUUCGAGUUGUAAAGCUCUUUCGGCCGGGAAGAAAUCGCACGGGCUAAUACCCUGUGUGGAUGACGGUACCGGAAUAAGAAGCACCGGCUAACUACGUGCCAGCCGCCGCGGAAACAC